rnacentral:rRNA from 1 species
UGGGGAAUUGUUCACAAUGGGCGCAAGCCUGAUGACGCAACGCCGCGUGGGGGAUGAAGGUCUUCGGAUCGUAAACCCCUGUCGAAUGGGACGAAUAGCCCGCGAAUUAAUACCUCGUGGGAAUGACGGUACCGUUAAAGGAAGCCACGGCUAACUCUGUGCCAGCAGCCGCGGUAAUACAGAGGUGGCAAGCGUUGUUCGGAAUUACUGGGCGUAAAGGGCGCGUAGGCGGCCUUCUAAGUCAGACGUGAAAUCCCCCGGCUUAACCUGGGAACUGCGUCUGAUACUGGGAGGCUAGAGUUUGGGAGAGGGAUGUAGAAUUCCAGGUGUAGCGGUGAAAUGCGUAGAUAUCUGGAGGAAUACCGGUGGCGAAGGCGGCAUCCUGGACCAAUACUGACGCUGAGGCGCGAAAGCUAGGGGAGCAAACGGG